UCCAACACGAACCGCUCCAUUGGUCGUCCCCUCCUCCGUCUUCCAGCCGCCCCUUGCUCGCAUGACUGCACUUCACCCGUGCGGCCCUGCCUCGCCUCGGUUCUGCUCCUGUACACACCGGCUGGCACCUGUACGUGCAGCAGCAGUGGAACUGAGAAAGGGACGGGAUUAUGGGAGAGCAGCGGGAUUUACAUGAAAAGGCACAAGAUCUACGGAGAAGAUAUGAAACUUUGGAGGUUUUUCAAAAGAAAAAAGAUAAUUUUGGAGGAUAUGGACGCAUCGUAGAAGCUAUGGUGGCCGGCGGCUACGGUAGAGAAGAAUGCAUCGAUUGCAUAAAGAGAGAUGCGAGAUUGGGAGAUGGAUGCAUUAAACAGUGGAUGCCUGGAUGGGUCAUCCGAUCAUGGGCCACUGGGCCGGUUUUGCAGUUUGGUGUUUGGUCUUUAUUUUUUUUUACGGUUGAAUUUAUUCAUUAAGAACAUGUCAUAUAAUCAUAUGAAUUAAAAUAAUAUUUAUUUAAUUAGAAAAAUAUUAAUCAGGUGACUUCUCAGGU
rnacentral:lncRNA from 1 species